ACUUGCUGGGUUGGCACAGUCCAAAACCACCGACCAACUUCCCCAAAAGCCAAUAGUUCAAAAUUUGGCUUAAGUUAGAAAUUAAGUCAAAGAGCAAACAAUCUCACUGAUCAAACAACGCCCUCACUUGAAAACCAGGAGUCCUCAAAAACUAACACACGCAUUUUUUGACAACACUAAGUGUUCUUGUGGGGGAGGAAGGGGAAAGAAGAACUUCAACUUCAACUGCUUGUAACACCACCCUCUAUUCACAUGUACCAGAACAGUGAUAUAAAAAUGAAGGUGAAGGAACCUCAAGACUUGGAGAGUACUUCCUUCAUGAAUUUCCACAGAAAAAAGGC
rnacentral:lncRNA from 12 species